rnacentral:rRNA from 1 species
GAUCCUGGCUCAGAACGAACGCUGGCGGCGCGUCUUAAGCAUGCAAGUCGGACGGUAGGCUGGGGCAACCUGGCCGAGAGUGGCGCACGGGUGAGUAACACGUAGGUGAUCUGCCUUGGGGUUGGGGAUAGCUCAUGGAAACAUGGGGUAAUACCGGAUACGACCCUUCGGGUAAAGCCGGAGGGGGAAAGGUGCUACGGCAUCGCCCCUGGAUGAGCCUGCGGUCCAUUAGCUAGUUGGAGGGGUAACGGCCCACCAAGGCGACGAUGGAUAGCCGGCCUGAGAGGGUGGUCGGCCACACUGGGACUGAGAUACGGCCCAGACUCCUACGGGAGGCAGCAGCUAAGAAUCUUCCGCAAUGGGCGCAAGCCUGACGGAGCGACGCCGCGUGGACGAAGAAGGCCGGAAGGUUGUAAAGUCCUUUUCUCGGGGAGGAAUAAGCUCGGGAGGGAAUGCCCGGGCGAUGACGUUAACCGAGGAAUAAGCCCCGGCAAAUUACGUGCCAGCAGCCGCGGUAACACGUAAGGGGCAAGCGUUGUUCGGAAUCAUUGGGCGUAAAGGGCGUGCAGGCGGUCGUGCAAGCCUGGUGUGAAAGACCUCGGCUCAACCGAGGAAGCGCGCCGGGGACUGCAGGGCUAGAGUUCAGGAAGGGAAGCUGGAAUUCCUGGUGUAGGGGUGAAAUCUGCAGAUAUCAGGAAGAACACCGGUGGCGAAGGCGAGCUUCUGGCCAUGGACUGACGCUGAGGCGCGAAAGCGUGGGGAGCAAACAGGAUUAGAUACCCUGAUAGUCCACGCCGUAAACGAUGUGCACUAGGUGUCGGGGGGUUACCCUCGGUGCCGUAGCUAACGCGAUAAGUGCACCGCCUGGGGAGUAUGCUCGCAAGGGUGAAACUCAAAGGAAUUGACGGGGGCCCGCACAAGCGGUGGAGCAUGUGGUUUAAUUCGAUCGUACGCGAGGAACCUUACCAGGAUUUGACAUGCGCCGGAAUGCGCCGGAGACGGCGCCGCCCUUCGGGGCCGGCGUGCAGGUGCUGCAUGGCUGUCGUCAGCUCGUGCUGUGAGGUGUUGGGUUAAGUCCCGCAACGAGCGCAACCCUUACUGUCUGUUGCCAACGGGUGAAGCCGGGAACUCAGACGGUACUGCCGGUGACAAACCGGAGGAAGGUGGGGAUGACGUCAAGUCAGCAUGGCCCUUAUGUCCUGGGCUACACACGUGCUACAAUGGUCGGUACAGAGCGUUGCGAAACCGCGAGGUGGAGCCAAUCGCAGAAAACCGGCCUCAGUACAGAUUGGAGUCUGAAACCCGACUCCAUGAAGUUGGAAUCGCUAGUAAUCGCGCAUCAGCACGGCGCGGUGAAUACGUCCCCGGGCCUUGUACACACCGCCCGUCACACCACCCGAGUCGGGGGUACCCGAAGUCGCUAGUCCAACCGGUAACGGGGGACGGUGCCGAAGGUUCGCCUGGUGAGGGGGGUGAAGUCGUAACAAGGUA